AUUUCUGUCUCACAAUCCCAACUUCUCUCGUUUCCAUCUACCAUCCGGCUAAUAAACAACAAAGCUGAACUGCUGAAGGAUAUAUUUUUGUUUCAAGAGAUCAAUGACGACCACAGAAGAAACAGAUGCCACUCCGGCCGCCCCCGAUGUCACCCACUUGGCAGCAGCUGCAGUGGCGGAAGCCGCAACCGCCGCAGUUCCUUCUGACGGAGAACUGGACCCAGAGAUCGAUACCGAUUUUGUGGUCGAUCCUGCAUAUGCUACUUCUAAGCAGUUGAAGGAGGAACAAGAUGAGGUGGCGAGGGAAGCGCAUGGCGGCGGAAUUGAAACCCUCAAAUCGGUAGUUAUAAUAUCCGGGGUGGUUGUGGCGGUGAUCGGAGCUCUAUUUGCGGUGGCCAAGAAGUUCAGAGAAGCAUGAAAUAGUAGCCAUAUUUGCGAAAAUGUUGUAAUCCACGAACAGGCCUUUAUACGUGCUGUAAACAUAGAAGCCAGAAGAAUAGCAAACAGGGAAACGUUACUAACCAAGAAAGGGAAAAGGAAAAUGGAGAGGAAAAUACUCACAACUUGAAGAAGAGCCCGUACAAGUUACACACGCACAAGGAAACAAACAAGCAUGCAAAAGACAUUCUAAAAUAUAGAAAAUAAA